ACGAUCAGUAGGGGUUCUGAGAGGAAGGUCCCCCCACAUUGGAACUGAGACACGGUCCAAACUCCUACGGGAGGCAGCAGUGAGGAAUAUUGGUCAAUGGACGAGAGUCUGAACCAGCCAAGUAGCGUGCAGGAUGACGGCCCUAUGGGUUGUAAACUGCUUUUAUAGGGGGAUAAAGUGUGUCACGUGUGGCAUAUUGCAGGUACCCUAUGAAUAAGGACCGGCUAAUUCCGUGCCAGCAGCCGCGGUAAUACGGAAGGUCCAGGCGUUAUCCGGAUUUAUUGGGUUUAAAGGGAGCGUAGGCCGUUUGGUAAGCGUGUUGUGAAAUGUCGGGGCUCAACCUGGGCAUUGCAGCGCGAACUGCCAGACUUGAGUGCGCAGGAAGUAGGCGGAAUUCGUCGUGUAGCGGUGAAAUGCUUAGAUAUGACGAAGAACUCCGAUUGCGAAGGCAGCCUGCUGUAGCGCAACUGACGCUGAAGCUCGAAAGCGUGGGUAUCGAACAGGAUUAGAUACCCUGGUAGUCCACGCGGUAAACGAUGGAUGCUCGCUGUUUGCGUCUGACGUAAGCGGCCAAGCGAAAGCGUUAAGCAUCCCACCUGGGGAGUA
rnacentral:rRNA from 1 species